CCGCUGACGAGCGGCGGACGGGUGAGUAAUGCAUAGGAAUCUGCCCGAUAGUGGGGGAUAACCUGGGGAAACCCAGGCUAAUACCGCAUACGUCCUACGGGAGAAAGGGGGCUCCGGCUCCCGCUAUCGGAUGAGCCUAUGUCGGAUUAGCUGGUUGGUGAGGUAAAGGCUCACCAAGGCGACGAUCCGUAGCUGGUCUGAGAGGAUGAUCAGCCACAUCGGGACUGAGACACGGCCCGAACUCCUACGGGAGGCAGCAGUGGGGAAUAUUGGACAAUGGGGGCAACCCUGAUCCAGCCAUGCCGCGUGUGUGAAGAAGGCCCUCGGGUUGUAAAGCACUUUCAGUGAGGAAGAACGCCUGGUGGUUAAUACCCAUCAGGAAAGACAUCACUCACAGAAGAAGCACCGGCUAACUCCGUGCCAGCAGCCGCGGUAAUACGGAGGGUGCGAGCGUUAAUCGGAAUUACUGGGCGUAAAGCGCGCGUAGG
rnacentral:rRNA from 1 species